ACCAGCAAGGAUUAGUAUUUCAGUGCUCACUUAUGAGGAUGUUCACUUCCUCAGGUAUCAACGAAAGUGAAAACUUGGGAAAAACACAAUAGUUGCUAAAAUGGUUUAUCAGCUGGAAGGAAAACAAACCCUACAGCAAUCAAAUUCAAAACAUCCACCUCUUUUAGUCUCUUCAAGACUUAAAGGCUGGCUAUGAGAGGCAAAUGUUUGGAAAGGUGCCAGUAAGAGGAUGAACAAAGAGGUGAAAUCAAUGGGGCUAUGCUGAUUUACAGCAGCUGAGGAUCUAGCCCAGAAAUCCACAUGGUUUUGGAGGGAGUGAUGCAGGAAAUGGAUACUCCUCUUUGGAUUUCAAUCUGUCAAGUAAAACCGCCACCCCAAAUCUUUGAUUACACAGAAGGACUUCUGCAGGUUUGAAGGGAGUGUCAAUGAUGGCUCUAAUUCUACCUCAUGAUGAAUUCUGGACAAUUUUUAUGGAUUUACCAUGAUAUCCCUGCCCUCUAUGAGUAAGACACAAGGAUUUAAUCUGACCCAUGGAAUUAGAGAUAAAAGGCCUAUUGUAUCAUCUACUUCAUCCCCCAGUGCUUUCCAUCAUUUCUCCUUGAGCAACUAUUUUGCAGUAUAAUAGAUGUUGCUGUUAAGAAGAUUUUUUUUUUCAUGCUGUCUUAUUUUUCCUUAAUUUCAUCCAAGUAUGCCUAAUUAUACCUCCCAUUACCAGGCUAAAUAAUUUCCAACCCUAUUUGGCAUUUACCCCAUUCAAAUAUUUAAAAACAGGGCUGAUUCUCUUCUCAUUUAUACACAUGUAAAUCAUGAAUAACUUCACUGAAAUCAAUGGAGUUGCAGAUUUACAAUGGUGUAAAUAGUGUCAAGAGCGAAUCGACCCUAUAUUCUGGGCAGAUUUAAAAAGUAACCAUUCAGAACUGAAUCUAUGAAACAUGGCAGUCUGCCAUGAGAAAAAAUUCCUACACCUUGUGGGGGGGCAGGAUCAGUUCAUCAAAGGGCAAACUGAGCACCUUGAAUUUUAAGUACAGAGGGAUAGGUAAAUUAAUGCACAAAGGGCUCCAAACAAAUACUUGAAACUGUGUGGCUGAAAGCACUAUAGAAGAGUUAAGUGUUAAUUAUUGUCACAUAUGUUGCGUGGAUUAUUAUACUACAUUUACGUCCCACUAGCAUACAGCUGGAAAUGUCACCCUUGUUCCUGUUAUACAUGACCCAUGCAGGACACAGUUGAACAUUCAUCCAACUUGUGUAAAGUACUCUGUGUGCAGGCUGCUGCUUGCAUUUUUUCCCCUCUUUAUGUUGGCAUUAUUCCUACAUGUAUUGCACAAUCUA